GAGUUUGAUCCUGGCUCAGGACGAACGCUGGCGGCGUGCCUAAUACAUGCAAGUGGAACGCAUGAUUGAUACCGGAGCUUGCUCCACCAUUAAUCAUGAGUCGCGAACGGGUGAGUAACGCGUAGGUAACCUACCUCAUAGCGGGGGAUAACUAUUGGAAACGAUAGCUAAUACCGCAUAACAGUCUUUGACACAUGUUAGAGACUUAAAAGGAGCAAUUGCUUCACUAUGAGAUGGACCUGCGUUGUAUUAGCUAGUUGGUGAGGUAAAGGCUCACCAAGGCGACGAUACAUAGCCGACCUGAGAGGGUGAUCGGCCACACUGGGACUGAGACACGGCCCAGACUCCUACGGGAGGCAGCAGUAGGGAAUCUUCGGCAAUGGGGGGAACCCUGACCGAGCAACGCCGCGUGAGUGAAGAAGGUUUUCGGAUCGUAAAGCUCUGUUGUAAGAGAAGAACGUGUGUGAGAGUGGAAAGUUCACACAGUGACGGUAACUUACCAGAAAGGGACGGCUAACUACGUGCCAGCAGCCGCGGUAAUACGUAGGUCCCGAGCGUUGUCCGGAUUUAUUGGGCGUAAAGCGAGCGCAGGCGGUUUGAUAAGUCUGAAGUAAAAGGCUGUGGCUUAACCAUAGUACGCUUUGGAAACUGUCAAACUUGAGUGCAGAAGGGGAGAGUGGAAUUCCAUGUGUAGCGGUGAAAUGCGUAGA
rnacentral:rRNA from 1 species